rnacentral:rRNA from 1 species
UGGGGAAUUUUGGACAAUGGGGGCAACCCUGAUCCAGCAAUGCCGCGUGUGUGAAGAAGGCCUUCGGGUUGUAAAGCACUUUUGUCCGGAAAGAAAACGCCGUGGUUAAUACCCGUGGCGGAUGACGGUACCGGAAGAAUAAGCACCGGCUAACUACGUGCCAGCAGCCGCGGUAAUACGUAGGGUGCAAGCGUUAAUCGGAAUUACUGGGCGUAAAGCGUGCGCAGGCGGUCCGCUAAGACAGAUGUGAAAUCCCCGGGCUUAACCUGGGAACUGCAUUUGUGACUGGCGGGCUAGAGUAUGGCAGAGGGGGGUAGAAUUCCACGUGUAGCAGUGAAAUGCGUAGAGAUGUGGAGGAAUACCGAUGGCGAAGGCAGCCCCCUGGGCCAAUACUGACGCUCAUGCACGAAAGCGUGGGGAGCAAACAGGAUUAGAUACCCUGGUAGUCCACGCCCUAAACGAUGUCAACUAGUUGUCGGGUCUUCAUUGACUUGGUAACGUAGCUAACGCGUGAAGUUGACCGCCUGGGGAGUACGGUCGCAAGAUUAAAAACUC